GAUGGGGAGAGGUCUGUCUGUGAUAAAGAGAUGGGGAGAGGUCUGUCUGUAAUAAAGAGAUGGGGAGAGGUCUGUCUGUAAUAAAGAGAUGGGGAGAGGUCUGUCUGUAAUAAAGAGAUGGGGAGAGGUCUGUCUGUAAUAAAGAGAUGGGGAGAGGUCUGUCUGUAAUAAAGAGAUGGGGAGAGGUCUGUCUGUAAUAAAGAGAUGGGGAGAGAUCUGUCUGUAAUAAAGAGAUGGGGAGAGGUCUGUCUGUAAUAAAGAGAUGGGGAGAGGUCUGUCUGUAAUAAAGAGAUGGGGAGAGGUCUGUCUGUAAUAAAGAGAUGGGGAGAGGUCUGUCUGUAAUAAAGAGAUGGGGAGAGGUCUGUCUGUAAUAAAGAGAUGGGGAGAGGUCUGUCUGUAAUAAAGAGAUGGGGAGAGGUCUGUCUGUAAUAAAGAGAUGGGGAGAGGUCUGUCUGUAAUAAAGAGAUGCUCUGCUUUUUUGACACCACACUCCAGAAAACAAGCCCUGCAGGCUCUAGUUUUAUCUUAUCUUGAUUAUUGUCCAGCCGUGUG
ensembl:lncRNA